CGGGGUGCACCAGGCGCGAAAACUUUACAAUGCUGGCAACAGCGAUAAGGGGACCUUGAGUGCCAGGAUACAAUCCUGGCUGUCGUGAUGCCUAAAAAGCAUUAUAUAUCAAGGGCCGGGCAAGACCGGUGCCAGCCGCCGCGGUAACACCGGCGGCUCGAGUGGUAACCGCUAUUAUUGGGUCUAAAGGGUCUGUAGCCGGCUUGGUUAGUCUCUUGGGAAAUCCGGCAGCUUAACUGUCGGGCUUUCAGGAGAUACUGCCAGGCUCGAGACCGGGAGAGGUGAGAGGUACUUCAUGGGUAGGGGUGAAAUCUUGUAAUCCUUGAAGGACCACCAGUGGCGAAGGCGUCUCACCAGAACGGAUCUGACGGCAAGGGACGAAAGCUAGGGGCACGAACCGGAUUAGAUACCCGGGUAGUCCUAGCCGUAAACGAUACUCGCUAGGUGUCGGCCACGGUGCGACCGUGGUCGGUGCCGUAGGGAAGCCGUGAAGCGAGCCACCUGGGAAGUACGGCCGCAAGGCUGAAACUUAAAGGAAUUGGCGGGGGAGCAC
rnacentral:rRNA from 1 species